rnacentral:rRNA from 1 species
UUAAGCGACUAAGCGUACACGGUGGAUGCCCUGGCAGUCAGAGGCGAUGAAGGACGUGCUAAUCUGCGAUAAGCGCCGGUAAGGUGAUAUGAACCGUUAUAACCGGCGAUUUCCGAAUGGGGAAACCCAGUGUGAUUCGUCACACUAUCAUUAACUGAAUCCAUAGGUUAAUGAGGCGAACCGGGGGGAACUGAAACAUCUAAGUACCCCGAGGAAAAGAAAUCAACCGAGAUUCCCCCAGUAGCGGCGAGCGAACGGGGAGGAGCCCAGAGCCUGAAUCAGCAUGUGUGUUAGUGGAAGCGUCUGGAAAGGCGCGCGAUACAGGGUGACAGCCCCGUACACAAAAGCGCAUGUGCUGUGAGCUCGAUGAGUAGGGCGGGACACGUGGUAUCCUGUCUGAAUAUGGGGGGGACCAUCCUCCAAGGCUAAAUACUCCUGACUGACCGAUAGUGAACCAGUACCGUGAGGGAAAGGCGAAAAGAACCCCGGCGAGGGGAGUGAAAAAGAACCUGAAACCGUGUACGUACAAGCAGUGGGAGCACAGGUUUACCUGUGUGACUGCGUACCUUUUGUAUAAUGGGUCAGCGACUUAUAUUCUGUAGCAAGGUUAACCGUAUAGGGGAGCCGUAGGGAAACCGAGUCUUAACCGGGCGUUAAGUUGCAGGGUAUAGACCCGAAACCCGGUGAUCUAGCCAUGGGCAGGUUGAAGGUUGGGUAACACUAACUGGAGGACCGAACCGACUAAUGUUGAAAAAUUAGCGGAUGACCUGUGGCUGGGGGGUGAAAGGCCAAUCAAACCGGGAGAUAGCUGGUUCUCCCCGAAAGCUAUUUAGGUAGCGCCUCGUGAAUUCAUCUCCGGGGGUAGAGCACUGUUUCGGCUAGGGGGCCAUCCCGGCUUACCAACCCGAUGCAAACUGCGAAUACCGGAGAAUGUUAUCACGGGAGACACACGGCGGGUGCUAACGUCCGUCGUGAAGAGGGAAACAACCCAGACCGCCAGCUAAGGUCCCAAAGUCAUGGUUAAGUGGGAAACGAUGUGGGAAGGCCCAGACAGCCAGGAUGUUGGCUUAGAAGCAGCCAUCAUUUAAAGAAAGCGUAAUAGCUCACUGGUCGAGUCGGCCUGCGCGGAAGAUGUAACGGGGCUAAACCAUGCACCGAAGCUGCGGCAGCGAACGUAUCACCCAAGACAACUUUACGGAGUUGACGAUUGACGGAGCGAAGCGACGUCAAAGCGUUCAUUAAAGUCGAGUUGGCUUAGGGAUACGUUCGUUGGGUAGGGGAGCGUUCUGUAAGCCUGUGAAGGUGUGUCGUGAGGCAUGCUGGAGGUAUCAGAAGUGCGAAUGCUGACAUAAGUAACGAUAAAGCGGGUGAAAAGCCCGCUCGCCGGAAGACCAAGGGUUCCUGUCCAACGUUAAUCGGGGCAGGGUGAGUCGACCCCUAAGGCGAGGCCGAAAGGCGUAGUCGAUGGGAAACGGGUUAAUAUUCCCGUACUUGGUGUUACUGCGAAGGGGGGACGGAGAAGGCUAUGUUGGCCGGGCGACGGUUGUCCCGGUUUAAGCGUGUAGGUGUGUGUUCCAGGUAAAUCCGGUUCACUUUAACACUGAGGCGUGACGACGAGGCACUACGGUGCUGAAGCAACAAAUGCCCUGCUUCCAGGAAAAGCCUCUAAGCAUCAGGUAACACGAAAUCGUACCCCAAACCGACACAGGUGGUCAGGUAGAGAAUACCAAGGCGCUUGAGAGAACUCGGGUGAAGGAACUAGGCAAAAUGGUGCCGUAACUUCGGGAGAAGGCACGCUGACACGUAGGUGAAGUGAUUUACUCAUGGAGCUGAAGUCAGUCGAAGAUACCAGCUGGCUGCAACUGUUUAUUAAAAACACAGCACUGUGCAAACACGAAAGUGGACGUAUACGGUGUGACGCCUGCCCGGUGCCGGAAGGUUAAUUGAUGGGGUCAGCGCAAGCGAAGCUCCUGAUCGAAGCCCCGGUAAACGGCGGCCGUAACUAUAACGGUCCUAAGGUAGCGAAAUUCCUUGUCGGGUAAGUUCCGACCUGCACGAAUGGCGUAAUGAUGGCCAGGCUGUCUCCACCCGAGACUCAGUGAAAUUGAACUCGCUGUGAAGAUGCAGUGUACCCGCGGCAAGACGGAAAGACCCCGUGAACCUUUACUAUAGCUUGACACUGAACAUUGAGCCUUGAUGUGUAGGAUAGGUGGGAGGCUUUGAAGUGUGGACGCCAGUCUGCAUGGAGCCGACCUUGAAAUACCACCCUUUAAUGUUUGAUGUUCUAACGUGGACCCGUAAUCCGGGUUGCGGACAGUGUCUGGUGGGUAGUUUGACUGGGGCGGUCUCCUCCUAAAGAGUAACGGAGGAGCACGAAGGUUGGCUAAUCCUGGUCGGACAUCAGGAGGUUAGUGCAAUGGCAUAAGCCAGCUUGACUGCGAGCGUGACGGCGCGAGCAGGUGCGAAAGCAGGUCAUAGUGAUCCGGUGGUUCUGAAUGGAAGGGCCAUCGCUCAACGGAUAAAAGGUACUCCGGGGAUAACAGGCUGAUACCGCCCAAGAGUUCAUAUCGACGGCGGUGUUUGGCACCUCGAUGUCGGCUCAUCACAUCCUGGGGCUGAAGUAGGUCCCAAGGGUAUGGCUGUUCGCCAUUUAAAGUGGUACGCGAGCUGGGUUUAGAACGUCGUGAGACAGUUCGGUCCCUAUCUGCCGUGGGCGCUGGAGAACUGAGGGGGGCUGCUCCUAGUACGAGAGGACCGGAGUGGACGCAUCACUGGUGUUCGGGUUGUCAUGCCAAUGGCACUGCCCGGUAGCUAAAUGCGGAAGAGAUAAGUGCUGAAAGCAUCUAAGCACGAAACUUGCCCCGAGAUGAGUUCUCCCUGAGACUUAGAGUCUCCUGAAGGAACGUUGAAGACGACGACGUUGAUAGGCCGGGUGUGUAAGCGCAGCGAUGCGUUGAGCUAACCGGUACUAAUGAACCGUGAGGCUUAACCUU